UUCCAAAUGAGAAGGCCUGGGGAAUUGCCUGAGAACAUCUUCACCAUCUGUCUGAUUAAUAGGCCGGCGAGCUGUAUCUAGCGGAAAGGGAUUCAACUGUUCUUCAUGCAUCAGCUUGAAUCUUUCAUCCCUCAAGCCAAGCUUGGAAGAGGAGUCAGGACCAGGGGCACCAUUCAAAGACAACACAUUAGGAGGAAUCCCUGUG
rnacentral:misc_RNA from 1 species